rnacentral:rRNA from 1 species
GACGAACGCUGGCGGCGUGCCUAAUACAUGCAAGUCGAGCGGACGAAUCGAAAGCUUGCUUUUGAUUCGUUAGCGGCGGACGGGUGAGUAACACGUGGGCAACCUGCCCUGUAGACGGGGAUAACACCGAGAAAUCGGUGCUAAUACCGGAUAACACGAAAUGUCGCAUGACGUUUCGUUGAAAGACGGCGCAAGCUGUCGCUACAGGAUGGGCCCGCGGCGCAUUAGCUAGUUGGUGAGGUAACGGCCCACCAAGGCGACGAUGCGUAGCCGACCUGAGAGGGUGAUCGGCCACACUGGGACUGAGACACGGCCCAGACUCCUACGGGAGGCAGCAGUAAGGAAUCUUCCGCAAAGGACGAAAGUCUGACGGAGCAACGCCGCGUGAGCGAAGAAGGCCUUCGGGUCGUAAAGCUCUGUUGUUAGGGAAGAACAAGUAACGCAGUAACUGGCGUUACCGUGACGGUACCUAACGAGAAAGCCACGGCUAACUACGUG